CUGGAUGAACCCCACGCUCACCUUUCCCAGUAGUCACGGCUCCAGCCUCACAGGGUCCUUGAGGUACCCUGGGUUUGCACUUCAUUCAGUUGGCACAGUUUUUAUUAUUUCUUUCAAUACCUCAUUACAGAAACAGACAGAAUAAUAGCUGGGAAGAAAAGCUGGAUGGCUUGAACUUUUCAUCUUAGAAAUAAAAACUGAGGUGCUUUUAUGGAGCAGAUAUAACUUAAAACGUUUGGUGUUUUCCAUGCAAUCACAUAAUGAUGACAUUGUUGGAGGAAAUCAGAGUAAGCAGAAAACCAAUAGGGUUAGCAAGGUGGGAGCCUACCAAUAUUGAGAUUGAUUUUCUACACAGAAUGAUUAAACUACCACUGCUCCCUUACAUACUAAAUCUUUAAAAUCCAACUCACCACUUUACUUUUCCCAAAAGUUGAAAACCAAAAGAAAAAAGAGAAAAACUUAUAUGAAGAAAAGUCAUUACCUCCCCAAAGCACGAUAGCAUAUUGACUUUGAAAACAGUAUCUUCUGAGAGAUGGAGGCCCAAAAGCUAGGGUUCAAUUAACUCAGUGAAGGCUCCAUGUUCCUUCCCAUCAAGUCAGAGGCAAUUACGUCUAUAAGCAAGUACAGACGUAUGUAUCAGUCUUUCCUUUCCAACUCUUCCCACUAUGUGUAUGUAUGUUUCUAUUUUUAAUUGUUUAUGGAACAUUCCAGGAAGAGAUAUCAAAUAAAAACAAGAGGGAUUACUCAGCAUUUCUGAAUUCUGUCAUAAGAUAGUCUAAAGCUUACACAUGUGCUACAAUUAUAGGCAGUUCAUGGCAUAAGUCAUCAAAUAAAAAGGAACAGAAGAUGGUGACAUAGGAGUCUCCCAAGCUCCCCUCCUCCCAUGGACACAAUGAAUCUAUGGCUGCACAUGGAACAGUUCCCUCUGAAAAAGAACUCAGAAAGUAGCUCAGUGGAACGAUAAGAAAAUCACCACAUCGUAAAGUGUAGUAGAAGGUCAGACACAAUCUUGUCAUCACUUCACCCCCGGCACGGUCACACACCACCAGGAGGGAACUCGCAACUCCAGAUUCUCCUUGAGGAGCAGAAGGUUUGGACUCCACAUCUGACAUCCCAACUUUUAAGACUUUCCCCUGACAGAUGGGCCCCCAAAACAUCUAGCUCUGAAAGCCAGUGGGAAUUGCCUCCAUGAGGCACACAAGGGUAUAACAGACUGAGAAAGUCUCAAGGGGCACAUGAGGACUCACUGGGGCUGUGCCCCAAGCCCAGUGCAGAGGCAGCAGACAAACCUGCCCAGUAGUUCCAUGAAAGAGACCUAUUUGCUUAACGUUAAAGCUGUACCCUGAGGGUCAGGCUUCUAAUUCAACACACAGCUAGGAUCCAACUGCAUUCUCUCCAAAAACCAGGCAGGCCAGUGGGUGCUGCCUUUGUGCUCUUUCUCUGCCCCGUCGCAGGUCACUGGUAAAAGAAAGAUGCUUGUACACACAUCCCUUACCAAGGACACAUCCCUUGACAGCCUGGUUCCAUUGCUAGCAGGGCUUGUGUUCACGGGAUUAACAGGACAGAGGCAACAAAACGCUCUU